CUGCUUUCAGAGGAGUGGCUGGUAGACUGAUGGCUCUUUUAUUAGUGACGUUCAGAUAAGCCUGUGAUCCACUCCCCGGCAACCCGAGGGAGUGGUCAAGUCACACAGAGCUCUGUGUCACCCCCUGACAGUUUCCUCACCACAGUCAGAAUGGCACUUGUGACAGACACUGGAGUUUCUCUUCUAUCUAAUUAAGGUUCCAUUAACUUAACUAGGUUAACCAUAUUUGCUUUCUAUUAUGGCCAACCUCCAGGCCAGAAUUUCAAUAAUUAUCAUAUAUUGUUGAUUUUUUUUUUCCACAAAUGCUUUCCGGUUGCCACUGUCCUUCAGCAAUUGGGCAAGCCUUCUGUCUAUGUGACAAAAUUUUUUUUUUUUAAAAAAGGAUACAAUCAAACUGCGUUCAUUGAUUGGCAGAUACAUUCUAGCUGCUAAAUGAGCUGCUGGGGUCCUCCAGAUAAGCCUCUGCAUUCUGGAGCUUGCCCUGCAGUGGGUGACAUGGACAUGUUCAGCAGAGCUGUGUAAUGACUGCGGCCAUGUGCCGGUAGAUUCCAAGUGCUGUGUUAUCACACAUGAGGAAAAACUGGGCAGUCAUGGAACCAUUACUGGAAGAGGAAAGUGCUAGAGUGAAUCCAAAAUUUCAACUAGAGAUUGGCCAUGGGAAGAGAGAGGAAGAAGAUAUUGCAGGAAGAAAGGUAGUGACUUGAACACAUUUGGAAAAGUGCAUUUAUUCAACAAGAUCCACCAGUGCAGGAAGAAGAGAGAGAGAGAGAGAUGAUGUCAGACCAUGAAUGUCCCAAAUAGAAAAAUUAAAAAGGG
rnacentral:sRNA from 1 species